GACAGAGGGUGCAAACGUUGCUCGGAAUCACUGGGCGUAAAGCGCACGUAGGCGGAUUGCUAAGUCAGGGGUGAAAUCCUGGAGCUCAACUCCAGAACUGCCUUUGAUACUGGCGACCUUGAGUCCGGGAGAGGUGAGUGGAACUGCGAGUGUAGAGGUGAAAUUCGUAGAUAUUCGCAAGAACACCAGGUGGCGAAGGCGGCUCACUGGCCCGGUACUGACGCUGAGGUGGCGAAAGCGUGGGAGCAAC
rnacentral:rRNA from 1 species